UAGUUCUUCUGAAAAGGAUUGAGGGUUAUAGUGGAUCAAAACUGAAGAUGAAUCAACAGCGUGAUGCAGAUGCAAAAGAAGGCUCAUAUCAUUCUGGGGUGUAUUAACAAGAGUGUUGUGUAAUUGUUCCACUCU